GCUACAAUUGAAAAAAAAAAAAAAACAAAUUAGCUUAAGUACUUGUGCAGUACCAAAUUAUGCAAAUCUUUUCAUGCAUUUUGAGCUUUUUAUUGAUAUAAAGUAACAACAUAUGUUUGAACUUAGAACUGGAAUCACGGAAAAAAUUUGUUUAUUGAUAAAUAUAAGAUUAACAAUAAGAGUUAACUACCAAAUCCGUAUUUAAAAGAUUUAGGUAUUGCCAAAAUAGUAUCCAAAAGACCUUAUUGAUAAAAAGAUCCCUAAAUAAUUUUAAAAUUUGAUAAAAAGUUAUCAAAUAGUGGAAACUAAGGUGCAGUGAUUUC